rnacentral:rRNA from 1 species
GACGAACGCUGGCGGCGUGCCUAAUACAUGCAAGUAGAACGCUGAAGGAGGAGCUUGCUCUUCUGGAUGAGUUGCGAACGGGUGAGUAACGCGUAGGUAACCUGCCUGGUAGUGGGGGAUAACUAUUGGAAACGAUAGCUAAUACCGCAUAAUAACAGUUGUUGCAUGACAACUGUUUGAAAGGUGCAAUUGCAUCACUACCAGAUGGACCUGCGUUGUAUUAGCUAGUUGGUGGGGUAACGGCUCACCAAGGCGACGAUACAUAGCCGACCUGAGAGGGUGAUCGGCCACACUGGGACUGAGACACGGCCCAGACUCCUACGGGAGGCAGCAGUAGGGAAUCUUCGGCAAUGGACGAAAGUCUGACCGAGCAACGCCGCGUGAGUGAAGAAGGUUUUCGGAUCGUAAAGCUCGGUUGUAAGAGAAGAACGAGUGUGAGAGUGGAAAGUUCACACUGUGACGGUAUCUUACCAGAAAGGGACGGCUAACUACGUG